CCUCCUCUCUCUCUCUCUCUCUCUCAAUACGGGUUUCCUUUUGCAUUCUUUUACUGAAUUAUAGGGAUUGGAAGCGAUGGGUAUUGGAUUCGAAGAGAUGGAGCGAUGGGUAUUGGAAUCGAAGCGAGACGAUGGGUACUGGAUCACUGAUUAGGUGGUAUAAAAUUUUGUUUCAGUGUUCUAAUCCAAAGAGUUCGAUCAUCAAUUCUGGGUUAAUGUAUAGUGAAAAUUGUACUGGAUUGCUCUAUUGAAGAACAAAUGAGUCUCUACUAUGCAUGUAGAAUUCGAUGUUUGUUCUGUGAUGGUUCAAUUUUGGUUUGCAAUUUGUGUAUCAAUGCUCUCAGAUUUAUUAGAGAUUUACAUGUAUUUUUGACAUCUUUGGGAUUUUGGUUGUUAUCUUUGCGGUUUUGGUUGUUUAA